CAGACCGUAGCUAAACUAGAGAAAGCAUCUCCCUUACACUGAGAAGUUAUUCGUGCAAGUCGAAUCGUUCUGA
rnacentral:tRNA from 2 species